rnacentral:lncRNA from 10 species
AUCACAAUGGUAGUUUGAAAUUGGCCAUGGUGGGAGUAUUUACACCAGGGAAAUUGGCAAGUGCUACAAAUCAGGGCUUUUUGUUUUUUUCCAGGGAGCCAUUUACUAGCACACCAUUUGUUAGAGUGUGAACUGGUUAGAAUGUAGACGAGGGAUAGUUGGAGGCCACAGAAGACAAGCAGAGAGACCAAACUAUCUGUACAUUCAUCUAGAAAGGCUAGAUAAAAAUAUAUUAUAUAUAGAUAAGAUUGCAUUAGAUUUGUAAUGUUACCUUCAAGAAAGAAGGAAAUUUCAGGAUAUCAGAAAUGCAGAGGACACAAAGCCCUAACAGUAAUGGUACAUACUAAUAUUAUGGCGGCCAGGAUGAGGGGGAAGAGCAGUUGAUAGAUCCAGAAGUGUCCUUUAGGAUAGAGGUUUGUGUUUCAAUGCCCAGACAGAGACAGGAGACAAGGCUCUGGGCUCAUGGAAGGUGAAGAGUUGGAAUGAAGACCGUUGCAUUGACAAACCCCUCAAAGAACUGCAUGCACCUCAGUGAGAAGAGAAAAUAAAAGCUCCACCUGCUGGCCUGGAAGGUGACCCCUGAUCUCCAUUCCCCUGGACAUCUCAAGGGCACAAAUUCUCUGGACACACGGAGGGAAUAAUGCUGACAUUUUAUAGAAGCUGACCCACUGGAUAUCCUUCUCACCCAACUCCAUUAGGCUGGGGAGAGUAAGAGGCACGGUGACAAGGUGGCAAAGAUGUCACCAUGCCAUCCAAUCACGAGGUCUCCAGGAAACUGUAUAAGAAGGACACCUCCAGAAACUCCUGGCACUACUG